rnacentral:rRNA from 1 species
UACGUAGGGUGCGAGCGUUGUCCGGAAUUAUUGGGCGUAAAGAGCUCGUAGGCGGUCUGUCGCGUCGGUCGUGAAAACUUGGGGCUUAACCCUGAGCUUGCGGUCGAUACGGGCAUCACUGGAGUUCGGCAGGGGAGACUGGAAUUCCUGGUGUAGCGGUGAAAUGCGCAGAUAUCAGGAGGAACACCGGUGGCGAAGGCGGGUGCUGGGCUGAUACUGACGCUGAGGCGCGAAAGCCAGGGAGGCGAACGGG